rnacentral:lncRNA from 1 species
GCCCAGGUGCUGGUGCUGAAGCAGGACUUGUUCUGUUUAAUCACAGUAGCUUCGCCUGAAGAAAAAUGGAUUUCCUGUGAAAAUCAGAAACUACUUCAGAACAGAGAGAGUGACUUGGAGCCCUUCCUCACCGAAUCCUUUCACCCAGUGUUUCCAGAUGAGAGAGAACUGGAUUAUCCCUCAACCCCGUCAAGAAAAACGCCGUGUUGCAGAACCAGGAAAAGAAGAUAAAGACCUUCAUGUAGAAUCUCCAGAGGAGUUACCAGGGACAAUCACUUCUACUGCUGUGUGUAGUGAUGGCCAGACCAACGUUUCAGCUCCACGAACCUGAUGGAUGCUGCAGGAUGUCGACAAUUUAGGCAAGGUGCCGAGGGCUUAGCAGUUUGAGGUGUGAUCCGCCGUCCUCUCAGUUUGCUUGGGCCAGCUUUGCUUGAAGGUGUGAGGAAGAGGAGCUCGAGGAGGGUUGACAGGAGGCCCAGACCCUGUGCAGCAGGUGAGCGUAGACUUCAGAAGUAUUUUAUUUUUAUCUACAGAUCUAGAAAUCGGUGCUCAGAGACUAAAAUUCCUGUGUAUGUAGAAACUCCUGUGCAGAACCUGUGUUUCUCGUCUCUUCAAGAGCGAAAACAUCAACCACAAAGUCCAUAAAACGUCGAGUCC